ensembl:lncRNA
GGGAAGUGAGUCCUGUCUUCUCUACCUGCUUUUCUCACGUCUGCGCUGGGCCGACUGGAAAGAUAAGGGAAUUGAAUUUGCCUACAAUCAAAUGAGCAAGAGAACAGCUUCUCCCUAGAGCCCACAGGAAGGAUCAUGGCCCUGCUGACACCUGAUGUUCACCAGGUAAGAACCAUGUUGGACUGAUGACCCACAGAAUGUCAGAUAAUAGAUCUGUGCUGUUUUAAGUCAUUAGGUUUGUGGAAAUUUGUUAUGGCAACCAUAGAAAAUGAAUCCUUUCCGAAUGGUGGAGGUUGGGGUGUUGUCAUGGUUUGCCAACAUCUACAGGUGCUGGCAGGUAAUACAAGGCGAUGACACCACACUGGUGAGUGUGGGGUUUGUGGGCAGGCAUCAAUGUUGUCUGCCAGAGUUCUCAGUGAACAAGAUGGAAACACAAACACACACAUGCACACACACACACACACACACGUAUGCACAUGUGCACACACAAAGGGGAGCAAUGUGAGAGCAGCAAUCAGACAUAUAUUUCUUUUUAAAAACCACCUACGUAUAAUUUCAAAGUUUACCAGUAGGUCACCAUAAAUGGAAUGAUUGUCCAAGUCCCAGGAUUGUUAGGAGGGCUGUUCCAGAUGCAGAUGGAAUAUGGCUUAUCUUAUGGACACGGUUUUACCUUUUUGCUUGAUUGGACUGUAUUUCAAUUAGUCACUCUUAAAGGGCUUGUACAGUGAUGCUAAAUAACUUGAUAUUGAUUUCCUCCUGUCUGUUUUGAGGUGGGGAGUGAGAACGACUGUAAGAGUUAAAGGACACUGAUAAAAUAAGAGCCAAAUAGUUAUAGCUGUGAGACAGGUAGUGCCAGACUAUCUACUUUGGACAGAAACCUACUUACCCUCGGGCAGUGCAAGCAGGUAUUUCUUGAAUCCAGAGAGAAGCCCCAAGUCAUCAAGUAUCUCAUGCUAACUAUUUAUAGCACUUUGUCCUUUUUUAAAAAAAAAAAAUUUUUUUUUUCUCUUUUCAUUCUACCAGUUCCAUUAAUAGUCUUAGCCACUCCUAUGGCAUCAAUAUUUAUACGUCUUUUCCAAAUCUUUUUGGAAGAAAGCAUUUUCCAAAUAUUCAGCCAGUCUAUAUUCUUUAUUCAAUAUUUCCACCUAGAUACCCCAUAGUUAUUUCGAAACUUAAUACAGCCAAAAUGGGACUCAUUAUUUCUAUCCCCAAAUUCUGUUAGCCUUAGCUUUGCCUAUCUGUUUCUCCCCUUUGUAUCAUUUGAUGAAGGACUUGAGUCCGUUUAUAAAAAUACAUAUACUACCAAAGGUCAACAUAAGUCAUUGAAUAUAGUCUAGCCAAAAGGGAAUUAUUAAAAGCAAGCAGGUAACAUUAGCACACAGAAACGAGUACUAAUUGAUCCUCUGAAAAUGAUUAAAUGAGUCUCAGAUUUAGCCCUAAGCUUCCUAGCAGCCAAAGAGAAUCUGGAACCACACUCAGUUAUAAGAUUUGUUAGCUGCCCAAUAUUCCAACCAACUCAAUUUCCAACAUAGGGUUUCCUGCUUUGACCUGAGUGAAAUUUCACCCAACCAAGGGGAGCUUUCUAUGACACGGUUAAUGAUGCCCUUGGGGCCUCUAUUAAAAUAUUCAGUUUCCUAGAUCCUUGUGCAAACAGAGUGAACAUGUGACCCAGUUCUGGUUUAAGGAGAUACAGGCAGAAGCCGCUGCUAAAGGCACCUCUUUCCAAAUAAAAAGAGGCUUUUUAAGGACAAGGCUCUUCUGCUUCCCCUCUGCCUGGGGCCAUCAUGUGUCUCAUGGUUAAGAAGAUGGAGCAGAAAGACUGAAGGACCUUGGGUCCACGAAGGCAGCUAGAAACACUGGGGUUAUUCCUGCUUGUUGACCUAUAAACUCCUUACAUAUGAAAAAUAACCUUGUUUAAGCCACGUUUUUAGAGUUAUUACUUGCACCUGAACACAAUCCUAAUUGAUAAACUAUUCCUAUGAUAAAUACUGUGUUAGUUUCUAGGGCAACCACUACAAAUGACCACAGACAUGGUGGCUUAAAACAGCAGGUUCUCCUCUCAGUUCUGGAGGCAGGAGGUCUGAAGCUAGGGUGUUAGGGCCAUGCUGCCACUGGGGGCUCUGGGAAGGAUCCUUCCUUGCCUCCUGCAGGUUCUGGUGGUUCCAGGUGUACCUUGGUGUUCCUCAGCUGGCACCUAAUUAACUUUCAACCCUGCCUCCAUCUUCACAUGAUCAUUUCUCUCUGUGCCUUUGUGUCCUCCUCUGUCUCUAUAAGGACAUGAAUCAUUCAGUAUGACCUCUGGAUGACUUAACUAAUUAUAACUGCAAAGAUCUAUUUACAAAUAAGAUCACAUGCUGAGGUUCCAACUGGACAGGAAUUUGAGGGGGACACCAACACAGUGCAAAUACCAUAUCAAUCUUUGUGUGGUUCCCAUUCUUGCUGACUGUUGCCCACGAAGGCAGGAUGGAAGACUGUAGACCCCACAUGCCACAUGCAGUUCUGAUAUUCAGUGGAAAAAUAAUUGGAUGGGAAAGUGGCAAAUUGUGGUUGCCCCUCAGGAUUAAUUUCACACCCCCACAACUCAGUAACCAUGCUGUGUGAGUUCAUGUAGACCCAAACCCAGCUCUAGUUGUGGGCACUGUUUACAGUGAUGGUUCAGGCAUGAACUAGACUUUUUCCUUAAACCAUUCAGUCCAUUGCUUUACUCUGGCCAUAGAGAUUCAAGGGGGUGUGUGGUCUAUACGGGUGCAGAGAAUGAAGAUUUGGUGGUUGGGGAAAGAGAUGUUCUUUAUCCCUCUGUACAUAGAAGAGGAAGCAGGUUCUGAUACUGUUGGCAGAUGUAUUUCAGGUUUGAGAAGGCCAUCCCUGGGAUCAAGUUGACAGUUAUCUGAGGUCACAGGCUAUGUUCCUUCUUGUCCAUGGGAACUAGCUACCAGGUCACACUCCCCAACAGCCUCCCCACUGCCCUACAGCUGCUACACGCUCUCUGCUGUCCCUUUAGACACAGAGAUGGAAAAGCCACAGAAAGACCACUUAAGGACUUCUUUAUUAUACUCCGAAGAACAUUAUUUUCUCUGACCAUUUUUUUAAUCCUCUAAAACUAAUUCUGAUUUUAGAUUGGCAGUUGUCAACUGUGGGAGGAGACAGUGAGUGUGAAUAUUCUUUAAAAGCUCCCCAGGAAUUCCCUGGUGGCUCAGUGAAUUAAGGAUCCAGGGUUGUUACUACAGAAUGAGAUUGCACUUGUGUACUUAUGGGGAUCAAUCCCCAGCAACAGUCAAGAGGGAGAAAAAGAGCCACACAAUGGGAAUAGUAAAGAGAGAGCGAGACCACACGUGUAUUUGCAUUUCCACAGAAAGAAUGAGGAGAGACUGUGGGAUGGGCAGCUGAGGGAGCAGGGUGGUGAGCACAGCCUUUCCUGACACCAAGCAGCUUGCUUGCUUGCUUGCUUGCUUGCUUGCUUGCUUGCUUCUUUUUUGUUUUCAGGGCUGCACCUUCGAGUUCCAGGGGGUAGAGGUCGAAUCAGGUGCAGCUGCCAGUCAACACUGCAGCUCUUGGCAAUGCUGGAUCCUUAACCCACUGAGUGAGGCUAGGGCUUGAACCCGAGUCCUCAUGGAUACUAGUUGGGUUCAUAACCUGCUGAAACACAAUGGGAACUCCCUAACACCAGGCAUCUUUCUGCAGCCUCUGUACUUCGGUGCAGUUUGCUCUGCUCUGUUCUCACUCAUUUCCUGUGCCCAUUUUCAGGGGCCUUGCUCUAGACCCCUAUAUAUCCUUUACAUGUCUACCAGGGCAGCAGGAGAGUCAAAGUUGCUGAAAAAGUAAAAGCUUUUAAAAUGCUAUUCUCUUGCAUUUUUCCUUUUUUAUUACAUACAAAAUUGGCAUAGAAUACCAUGCUGAUGUGGAUAUAUGAUAUGCACUCAAUAAACAGCUGUUGCUUUUUCUUUUGCUAUCCCCAUGUGUUAAGAUUUUUGUAUGUGUGUGAAAAGCUAAAGAAAAUAAAUCCUUUAGUUUAUUUUAUAUGCCUGUUAAAAGCUAAAUUACAGUAGUCAAUGCAUACUUAGAAGUCCAUAACAGCCACUGGAGUAGCUCAGUUUGCCCAGUUACAUAGCCCCCAGCUCCCUGGGUUUCAGCCCCUGACUACCUCCAGCCCAGCAAGAAUUAGUAGAAGAGACCCUUCUUUUUUAUUUUAUUUUAUUUUAUUUUAUUUUAUUUUUUGCUUUUUAGGGCCACACCCUCGGCAUAUGGGGCUCCCGGGCCAUGGGUCGAAUUGGAGCUGUAGCUGCCGGCCUACACCACAGCCAAGGCAACGCAGUAUCUGAGCUGCAUCUGUCACCUACACCACAGCUCACAGCAAUGCCGGAUCCUUAACCCACUGAGUGAAGCCAGGGAUCCAACCUGCGUACUCAUGGAUGUUAGUCAGAUUUGCUAACCACGGAGCCACAAGGGGAACUCCAGAACAAUUAGAGUUUAAUUUGGAAUAUUACUUUUUAUCAACAAUAAAUUAAAAUAUAUAAAGUCAUUCUAUGUAAAUUAUAUAAAUCAAAUUGCUGAGCCCAAUUGGAGGUUUACAAAAUUAAUCAAAAUAAUUAGGAACUCAGAGUCCCUGGGA